rnacentral:rRNA from 1 species
AGCGAACGCUGGCGGCAGGCCUAACACAUGCAAGUCGAACGGACCUUUCGGGGUUAGUGGCGGACGGGUGAGUAACACGUGGGAACGUGCCUUUAGGUUCGGAAUAGCUCCUGGAAACGGGUGUUAAUGCCGAAUGUGCCCUUCGGGGGAAAGAUUUAUCGCCUUUAGAUCGGCCCGCGUCUGAUUAGCUAGUUGGUUGGGGUAACGGCACACCAAGGCGACGAUCAGUAGCUGGUCGGUGAGGAUGGCAAGCCACAUUGGGAAUGAGACACGGACCAAACUCCUACGGGAGGCAGCAGAGGGGAAUAUUGCGCAAGGGGCGAAAGCCUGACGAAGCCAUGCCGCGUGAAUGAUGAAGGUCUUAGGAUUGUAAAAUUCUUUCAGCGGGGACGAUAAUGACGGUACCCGGAGAAGAAGCCCCGGCUAACUUCGUG